AGGAGCCGUGUGAGGUGAAAGUCUCAUGCACGAUUCUGAAGGGGGGGGAUGGAGGCGACUCCAUCCCCGACCCCUAA
rnacentral:ncRNA from 1 species